CCUACGGAGUGCAGCAGUGGGGAAUAUUGCGCAAUGGGCGAAAGCCUGACGCAGCGACGCCGCGUGAGGGAUGAAGGUCUUCGGAUCGUAAACCUCUGUCAGCAGGGAAGAACGGGCACUGUGCUAAUCAGCAGUGAAUUGACGGAACCUGCAAAGGAAGCACCGGCUAACUCCGUGCCAGCAGCCGCGGUAAUACGGAGGGUACGAGCGUUAAUCGGAAUUACUGGGCGGAAAGGGCUCGUAGGCGGUAUGUCAAGUCAAGGGGGAAAUCCCCGCGCUCAACGUGGGAACUGCCUUUGAAACUGGCACACUGGAGUGUGUGAGAGGAUAGUGGAAUUCCAGGUGUAGGAGUGAAUUCCGUAGAUAUCUGGAGGAACAUCAGUGGCGAAGGCGACUAUCUGGCACAUAACUGACGCUGAGGAGCGAAAGCGUGGGUAGCAAACAGGAUUAGAUACCCUUGUAGUC
rnacentral:rRNA from 1 species